CUUGGAAGGAAGUCACUAUAUGCGGCUUCUCCUUAGGGAGUGGGGACUUAUCCUCCACCUCCUUGAGGGUGUUUAUCUGCAUAAAUUAUUUGGAAUUUCCCCUGCAAGGGAGAUUCGUCUGUUCUCUCCCAUGUGUUUGUUUGUUUAAUUAAUCAUUUAUAUCAGUCUGGGCUCACUUAUUUUACACCUGGUGUUAUGCUCGUAUGGAUCUAGUAGAGCUUUCUAUUAGAUCUAACAGAUCUAAUAUGAUCUUAUUUAUGUUGUUGCUCAAAUUGUCUUGCUUGGGCCAUUGGGAUCUCUUUCAGUUGUGUCCCUUUUGACAUUGAGUGUGGGUGUUUUUCUUUUUGAGCCCUGCCUUACUUUCUGGUGCUACAAGAUUCUCCAGGCUCAUCUUGUAUGUUUCCUAUUCUAGUCCUAGAGUCAGUUAUUUCUCCAAGAAGCCCUGUUCCUCUUAUCGAAGAAUGGUACUGAAACCAAAUCUGGGCUCCAUUGUUUGUCUUUUCACUGCUGAGUUUUGAGAAUUCUUUGUUUUCCAGAUACCAGUCCUUUGUCGGAUAUGUGGUUUGCACAUAUUUUAUACCAGUCUGUGGCUUUGUCUUUUCACCCUCUAAACAGAGUCUUUCACAGAACAAAAGUUUUUGAUUUUGAUGAAAUCCUAUUUAUCAAUUUUUCCUUUUAAGGAUCGGACUUUUAGUGUCAAGUCUCUAAAAACUCCUUGCUUACUCCCAGUUCCUGAAGAUUUUCUCCUGUUUUUUUCUAAAAGUGUUCUAUUUUACAUUUGUAUUUGCUACAUUUACGUUUGCUCAGUCUGACAACUGCUGCCAAGAGGAAACCUUGGCUUGAUGGAAACUUCCAAGGGCUAGUGGAGAGCCACGGUGCUACACAGCUUACACUGAAGUUACCACGUCGUCAGCUUUUGAAACAAACAGCCGUCACUGAACCCUCAGCAAGAUAUUUGUUUACCUCCUGGUCUGACCUGUUAAGACUGUGAACUCCUUCAGGGGUCCUCAAUAAUUAGAAUGUAAAGGGGUCCUGAGAACAAAAAAAAACUGAGAACAGCUGGUAUAGAGGAUACAAUGGGAUUUGGAGAUAGAGGACCUAAAUUCAAGUUCCAGUUCUGUUCCUUAACUGACUGAUUUUAGGUAAGUUACU
rnacentral:lncRNA from 1 species